ACCCGCUGAACUUAAGCAUAUCAAUAAGCGGAGGAAAAGAAACCAACAGGGAUUGCCCCAGUAACGGCGAGUGAAGCGGCAAUAGCUCAAAUUUGAAAUCUGGCCCUUUCAGGGUCCGAGUUGUAAUUUGCAGAGGGCGCUUUGGAGUCGGCAGCAGCCUAAGUUCCUUGGAACAGGUCAUCAUAGAGGGUGAGAAUCCCGUAUGUGGCUGCUUGCCUUCGCCGUGUAAAGCCCCUUCGAUGAGUCGAGUUGUUUGGGAAUGCAGCUCUAAAUGGGAGGUAAAUUUCUUCUAAAGCUAAAUAUUGGCCAGAGACCGAUAGCGCACAAGUAGAGUGAUCGAAAGAUGAAAAGCACUUUGGAAAGAGAGUCAAAAAGCACGUGAAAUUGUUGAAAGGGAAGCGCUUGCAGCCAGACGUGCCCGCAGUUGCUCAUCCGGGGAUUUCCCCGGUGCACUCUUCUGUGGGCAGGCCAGCAUCAGUUCGGGCGGUUGGAUAAAGACCUGUGUCACGUAGCUGUUUUCGGGCAGUGUUAUAGGGCAGGUGGAAUACAGCCAGCCUGAACUGAGGUCCGCGCAUCUGCUAGGAUGCUGGCGUAAUGGCUGUAAGCGGCCCGUCUUGAAACACGG
rnacentral:rRNA from 1 species